CGAGUAGCUGGGAAUACAGACGUGAACCACCAUGCCCGGCUAAUUUUUGUAUUUUUAGCAGAGACGGGGUUUCACUAUGUUGGCCAGGCUGGUCUGGAACUCCUGACCUCAUGAUCCGCCCGCCUCGGCCUCCCAAAGUGCUGGCAUUACAGGCGUGAGCCACUGCGCCCAGCCGUCGUCAGUUCAGUAUUAGGAAAAGAAUUUAAGAACUUUUAAUAAAUCAGCAAAAAUAUCAUGCAUUUAAAAUGUUUCGGAAGAACUGGACAAAUUCUUUUGAUAAGGUGUCAAGAAAAUAGUAGAUUCCAUUAAAUGAACACUUUGAUGAGAACUGUAAAAACAGGUUUGUAGAUGUUAAGGAAAAACUAAGGAAAUUGCACUAAACAAUGGACUUUGAUUAAUAAUAAUGUAUCCAUACUGAUUCAUCAAUUGUGACAAUGUAUCAGACUAAUGUAAGAUGGUAAGAAGGCAAACUGAGUGUGAGGUAUGAGGGAACUCUCUGUACUAUCUUUGUAAUUUUUUUAUAAGUCUAAAACUAUUCUAAAAUUAAAAGUUUACUUUUGUAAAAAAAAUGACAUCUCAAACAUUAAUAUUUCAUUUCAAGUUCUAAAUCAGUGAUAUGGUUUGGAUAUGUUUCCCCAUCAAAUCUCACAUCAAAUUGUAAUCCCCACUGUUGGAGGUGGUGCCUGGUGGGAGGUGACUAGGUCAUGGAGGUGGUUUCUCAGUAAUGGUUUAGCACCAUCCCCUUAAUGCUGUCCUCAAGAUAGUGAGUUCUCUGGGGCCAGGCGUGGUGGCUCACGCCUGUAA
rnacentral:lncRNA from 1 species